rnacentral:rRNA from 1 species
UACGUAGGGGGCAAGCGUUGUCCGGAUUUAUUGGGCGUAAAGAGCGUGUAGGCGGCCAAGCAGGUCCGCUGUGAAAACUCGAGGCUCAACCUCGAGACGUCGGCGGAAACCGUUUGGCUAGAGUCCGGAAGAGGAGAGUGGAAUUCCCGGUGUAGCGGUGAAAUGCGCAGAUAUCGGGAAGAACACCCGUGGCGAAGGCGGCUCUCUGGGACGGUACUGACGCUGAGACGCGAAAGCGUGGGGAGCGAACAGG